rnacentral:rRNA from 1 species
AGAUCGAACUAUAGAGUUUGAUCCUGGCUCAGAUUGAACGCUGGCGGCAUGCUUUACACAUGCAAGUCGAACGGUA